UACAGAGGUCUCAAGCGUUGUUCGGAUUCAUUGGGCGUAAAGGGUGCGUAGGCGGCGCGGUAAGUCGGGUGUGAAAUCUCGGAGCUUAACUCCGAAACUGCAUUCGAUACUGCCGUGCUUGAGGACUGGAGAGGAGACUGGAAUUUUACGGUGUAGCGGUGAAAAUGCGUAGAUAUCGGGAAGAACACCCCGUGGCGAAGGCGGCUCUCUGGGACGGUACUGACGCUGAGACGCGAAAGCGUGGGGGAGCGAACAGG
rnacentral:rRNA from 1 species